rnacentral:rRNA from 1 species
UACAGAGGGGGCAAGCGUUGUUCGGAAUUACUGGGCGUAAAGGCGCGUAGGCGGCCUGUUAAGUCGAACGUGAAAUCCCCGGGCUCAACCCGGGAACUGCGUCCGAUACUGGCAGGCUUGAAUCCGGGAGAGGGAUGCGGAAUUCCAGGUGUAGCGGUGAAAUGCGUAGAUAUCUGGAGGAACACCGGUGGCGAAGGCGGCAUCCUGGACCG